rnacentral:rRNA from 1 species
GACGAGCCACACGAACGUUUAUUCGGAAUUACUGGGCGUAAAGAGCGCGCAGGCGGUCGUUCAAGUCGCGUGUGAAAGCCCCCCGGCUCAACUGGGGAGGGUCACGCGAUACUGAUCGACUCGAAGGCAGGAGAGGGAAGUGGAAUUCCCGGUGUAGUGGUGAAAUGCGUAGAUAUCGGGAGGAACACCAGUGGCGAAGGCGACUUCCUGGCCUGUUCUUGACGCUGAGGCGCGAAAGCUAGGGGAGCAAACGGG